rnacentral:lncRNA from 1 species
UGAAAUGUCAUCAGUUACAGAUUCAUUUCUUUCCCUGAUGCUCAGGUAGAGAUGUUCGGAGAGGAGUUCCUCCUGCAUGCAGUAGGCAUUUUGUAAAAAUACACCUCUACAUAAGAUAGCUAAACUAACUGAAUGACUCAACAGCAAAAAACAGUUAAAUUCAGCGAGAUCUCUCCCUCUAGGGAUAUUUUUACCGCAAGAAAAUAAAAGUACUGGCAGAAGACAAAGACACUGAAAUCACUGAAAUUGUUCUCUCCUCAGUCUGAGUUUGACCGGUCUGGAAUUUAAUUUUUGGAUGUGGUGCCUGAUCUGUCUCUAAGGUGGUGAAUGAGGGCAGCUGAGGCCACUCCGAAUCUCAAGAGAUCAAUAGUGUUAGUAGCUGUUGAUCUAAUUAUGGAUUAUUUGGGUCAGACUCUUUUCUCGUAGCUGGGUGUGACUUCAUUGACUUAAAAGAGGAAACUGGAAGGGAUCUGUCCAAGACAUUACAUGAGGAAAUUGAUUUAGGCAAAUUUAUACCAUCAGGUAAAUCGUUAGAAAAACAGAUUCCCAGAACGUUUUGUUCUAGUUUAAUAGAAACGUAUGUUCUGUGAGGGGAGGGCAAUGAGUUUAUGGAGGGAAGAGCAUUCCCUAGCAAAUGAAAAGCCCAGGUGAGCUUUGGAAUUUUAGGAUUAAUAAUACUAUUCUGUAUUUUUCUAUUUCAUUUCUUGAGAAUCGCACGAUGGAGAGGAGUAUCGUGCUCUGACAAAGCUAAUCAGAAGUUAUGAGUAUUAAUUUCCUGACCAAUACUGAUCACCUGGCAGAGCCAUGUGUGUGCCCACAACGCGGGGCUGAAAACAACCCUUUAAAAAAGGGUUUCAGGUGGAUCAGUUCUCCAAAACUCUGAAGACAAGUCACGCAAGCAGUUUGCUGACAGAGCACAAGAGUGGUUGCAACAGGAG